AUGCUGCUGGCAGCGCUCAUGGCCGCAGUCGCUUGGUCUUCUGGGUACGCACAAGUUAUUCCUGUGCAGAGCCCUCUGUCCGUCACCAAGUCUAAAGGAAGUGUACACCUGGAAUGUCACUUUAAAGACUUCUCUGGAGAUUUUGACAGCACCCUCAUCCACUGGUAUCAACAGAAAGCAAAUCAAGCUCCAAAGAGGAUGGCCUAUUUUUCAGGGUCAAAAAUAGUAGAUGACGGCUUCCAAGCAAACAGGUAUAGGAUUGUAAAGGAAUCCAGAGAGAAACUGUGUACACUUACAAUAAGUGAUGUCAUUCCAGAUGACACUGCUACCUACUACUGUGCCAUUCUCAGACUGUGGGAUGCUGAUGUCAAAAUAUUUGGCAGUGGAACGAAACUCAUUGUUUCAA